rnacentral:rRNA from 1 species
AUUGAACGCUGGCGGCAUGCCUUACACAUGCAAGUCGAACGGUAACAGGUCUUCGGAUGCUGACGAGUGGCGAACGGGUGAGUAAUACAUCGGAACGUGCCCGAUCGUGGGGGGUAACGAAGCGAAAGCUUUGCUAAUACCGCAUAAGAUCUACGGAUGAAAGCAGGGGACCGCAAGGCCUUGCGCGAACGGAGCGGCCGAUGGCAGAUUAGGUAGUUGGUGGGAUAAAAGCUUACCAAGCCGACGAUCUGUAGCUGGUCUGAGAGGACGACCAGCCACACUGGGACUGAGACACGGCCCAGACUCCUACGGGAGGCAGCAGUGGGGAAUUUUGGACAAUGGGCGAAAGCCUGAUCCAGCCAUGCCGCGUGCAGGAUGAAGGCCUUCGGGUUGUAAACUGCUUUUGUACGGAACGAAAAGACUCUGGUUAAUACCUGGGGUCCAUGACGGUACCGUAAGAAUAAGCACCGGCUAACUACGUG